AGUCGCGGGUCGUAAAAAAGCUCUAAACCGUGUAUUUUAUUGAGUCGCGGGUUGAAUAAAGUGUGUAGAAAUCACGUUAUCAUUUAGUAAACAACUAUAUAGGAUUGCUUCAAUACGAAAUAUUGCCCAAGAGCCUUUUGUCAUGAGUUUGACUAAUGGUCGCGUGUCGCGGGUAGAAUGUCGCGGGUGAAAUGUCGCGGGUAAAAAGUCGCGGGUCGUAAAAAAGCUCCAAACCGUGUAUUUUAUUGAGUCGCGGGUUGAAUAAAGUGUGUAAAAAUCAC
rnacentral:lncRNA from 1 species